rnacentral:rRNA from 1 species
AUUGAACGCUGGCGGCAUGCCUUACACAUGCAAGUCGAACGGCAGCACGGGAGCAAUCCUGGUGGCGAGUGGCGAACGGGUGAGUAAUAUAUCGGAACGUGCCCAGUCGUGGGGGAUAACGUAGCGAAAGCUACGCUAAUACCGCAUACGAUCUAUGGAUGAAAGCGGGGGAUCGCAAGACCUCGCGCGAUUGGAGCGGCCGAUAUCAGAUUAGGUAGUUGGUGAGGUAAAGGCUCACCAAGCCGACGAUCUGUAGCUGGUCUGAGAGGAUGAUCAGCCACACUGGGACUGAGACACGGCCCAGACUCCUACGGGAGGCAGCAGUGGGGAAUAUUGGACAAUGGGCGAAAGCCUGAUCCAGCAAUGCCGCGUGAGUGAUGAAGGCCUCGG